rnacentral:lncRNA from 1 species
UCAUUUAGUGACGAAGCGGAAAGUGAGAGUGAAAAGAAAACGAAAACUCUUCUCCACUUAAUACGCCAAUUAAUACGGAGAAAAGUUUUCUUUCUUUAAUAAAUGUAUGAUGCAUGGUUUUCUUUUUCUCUACCUCUCCUCUUAAUUAAAGAACCCGAAAAAGAGAGAGUCAUAAGUUUUCUCUCUCGUUUGUUGCAACUUUUGCAAUAAGUUCUUAUACUAAAUCAAAUUUAGUAUUAGGUCACUCUACACAAAUUUUAUCUUUUACAAUUAGAGUUUUGCUAAUCACCUUAGCAAAUAAAUUCUUGCUUUGCUACUUUAGCAAAAUAGUCUCUAUUAAUUCUCCAAGCACUAGAUCACACGCAGCCUUUAUUGUGUGUGACCACAUAGGUUCAAUUCUACCUGGUAGUGAGAUGUGACAGUAAACUCUUUUAAUGUCACCAUCGGAACUCUUCUCGAUGGACCAAAACAUUUUUGGCUCUCCCAACUGAGUGUAAUUAACUAUCUUAAUUACUCUCAUGGGUCCCACAAUCCACGAGUGACACCUAGCAGUAUAUCGCGGCAAUCCAAGUAGAAUUAAUAAUAGACGGAACCUCUAGGUGUAGUUACCGUGUGAUAAAAUCCUUCUAUCACUAGUCCCGAUUGAGCCGAGGUUAUGGAUUACUCGUCAAACCCCAUUACUCAAUCAUAUGUCUCAUCUGAUUAACAAUUAAUAUGGAAACUCUUUUCCAUAAAAUCAUACUGCCUUGGCCAAGGACUUUUAUAUCUUGUAAAACAGAUAGUAUAGGACAAUUACCUCUCUACCGAGGGUGAUAGAUUCCAUCUUGACACACACCUACCUCCACGUAUGACCCACUGCAGCCAACAUGUGUUGACUUAACCCAUGAUUAGGGUAUAAGUAUUUACACAGUCAAACUACAAUAACCCACACGCAAGAUAACCGUGGUGCCUCAGGUCAAAGGAUCACUCACACUACUACAGUAUGGAACAAUUCACUGACGAGUGAGUAGACAUCCAUGUGAUUGUUCAUAGUUGGUCACGCUCAGUGAAAUUGUUCUCCAACAUUCACCUGUAUGCUUACUCUAGUGUCACCACACUAAUGAUUUGAGACUCGUCAUUCCAUAAAGGAAGUACAGCAUACACUGAUCUAUCCGGAUUUACCACCGCCCUCGUGAUAAUCCUAUGAUCAG